CUAAGACUAUAGGCACAUGUCACCCACCACACAUGGCCAGUUUUUAAAUUUUUUUGUAGAGAUGGGGUUUCGCUAUGUGGCACAGGCUGGUCUUGAACUCCUGGCCUCAAGUGAUCCUGCCUCCUUGGCCUCCCAGAGCUGUGGGAUUACAGGCUUGAGUCAUCGUGCCCAGCCUGAUUCGUAUUUUUAAAUGAACCCUACUGCUGCCAUGUUGGAGUUAGUUGAAGGAGUGUGGGGUUGUAUUGUAUCAGCUUGGCUAAACCGAAAUUUUUUGUUUUGUUUUGUUUUGUUUUGUGUUUUUUUUUUUUGAGAUGGAGUCUUGCUCUGUCACCAGGCUGGAAUGCAGUGGUGUGAUCUCGGCUCACUGCA
rnacentral:lncRNA from 10 species